AUUAAGCCAUGCAAGUCUUAGUACAGUACACACGGCCGGUACAGUGAAACUGUGAAUGGCUCAUUAAAUCAGUUAUGUUUCCUUUGAUCACUCCAAUGUUACUUGGAUAACUGUGGCAAUUUUAGAGCUAAGAUAUGCCAACAAGUCCUGACCUUCGGGGACAUGUGCAUUCAUCUUACCCAAAACCAAUACGGGGUGCUCUUGAGUGCCCCGGCCGCUUUUGGUGACCCUUUGUGGCAUUGGUGUCUCAUUGGAAUGUCUGCCCUAUUAACUUUCAAUGGUAAUUUCUGUACUUACCAUGGUGACCAUGGAUAAUAGAGAAUCAUGAAUCGAUUCCGGAAAGGGAGCCUGAGAAACGGCUACUAUACUGAACAAAAAUAUAAAUGCAACAUGCA
rnacentral:ncRNA from 1 species